rnacentral:rRNA from 1 species
CCCUUAGAUGUUCUGGGCAGCACGCGCGCUACAAUGGUCUUCGCAAACGGAUGCAUUCUCGAAGGAGAAUGCCAAUCUUGGAAUCUAUGCCUUGGUCGGGACAGUUGCUUGCAAUUUUUCGACUCGAUCCAGGAAUUCCUUGUAAUCGUGAUUCAUCACAUCACGAUGAAUACGUCCCUGCCCUUUGUACACACCGCCCGUCGCUCCUACCGAUCGAAGAGUUAGGUGAAUUGUUUUGAUCGAUAAGAUUUGACUAUGGUCAACUCUCGUUGUGAAAUUCUGUGAAUCUGACUGUUUAGAGGAAGGAAAAGUCGUAACA